UGAGGAAUAUUGGGCAAUGCCCGCAAGGGUGACCCAGCAACGCCGCGUGGAGGAUGACUGUCGUAAGAUUGUAAACUCCUGUUAGAGGGGAAGAAUAGUACCGGUUGGACCGGUAUAUGACUGUACCCUCAGAGAAAGCCCCGGCUAACUACGUGCCAGCAGCCGCGGUAAUACGUAGGGGGCAAGCGUUGUCCGGAUUUACUGGGUGUAAAGGGCGCGCAGGCGGGAUAAAAAGUCAGUGGUGAAAUCCUACAGCUUAACUGUAGAACUGCCUUUGAUACUUUUAUUCUUGAGUUCGGGAGAGAGAGACGGAAUUCCAGGUGUAGUGGUGAAAUACGUAGAUAUCUGGAAGAACACCAGUUGCGAAGGCGGUCUCUUGGUCCGACACUGACGCUGAGGCGCGAAAGCGUGGGGAGCAAACA
rnacentral:rRNA from 1 species